CGUAGGGCGCAAGCGUUGUCCGGAUUUAUUGGGCGUAAAGAGCUCGUAGGCGGCUUGUUGCGUCGGCUGUGAAAACCCGCGGCUUAACUGCGGGCUUGCAGCCGAUACGGGCGGGCUGGAGUUCGGUAGGGGAGACUGGAAUUCCUGGUGUAGCGGUGAAAUGCGCAGAUAUCAGGAGGAACACCGGUGGCGAAGGCGGGUCUCUGGGCCGAUACUGACGCUGAGGAGCGAAAGCGUGGGGAGCGAACAGGAUUAGAUACCCUGGUAGUCCACGCUGUAAACGUUGGGCGCUAGGUGUGGGGGGCCUCUCCGGUUCUCUGUGCCGCAGCUAACGCAUUAAGCGCCCCGCCUGGGGAGUACGGCCGCAAGGCUA
rnacentral:rRNA from 1 species